rnacentral:tRNA from 1 species
AUUCAAAUAGCUCAAAUCUUAAGAGCAUAAUAUUGAAGCUAUUAAGGUGAUUAUUAAUCUUUGAAUA